rnacentral:rRNA from 1 species
UACGAAGGGGGCUAGCGUUGCUCGGAAUCACUGGGCGUAAAGCGCACGUAGGCGGAUUGCUAAGUCAGGGGUGAAAUCCUGGAGCUCAACUCCAGAACUGCCUUUGAUACUGGCGAUCUUGAGUCCGGGAGAGGUGAGUGGAACUGCGAGUGUAGAGGUGAAAUUCGUAGAUAUUCGCAAGAACACCAAUGGCGAAGGCGGCUCACUGGCCCGGUACUGACGCUGAGGUGCGAAAGCGUGGGGAGCAAACAGG